AAUUCAACACAGAGCUUUAACAGCAGACAACCAAACAGAAGAAUCAGUGAGCUUGAAGGCAGAUCAAUUGAAAAUAUCCAAUGUGAGGAACAAAAAGAAAAAACGAAAAGGAAUGAAGAAAGCUGGUGGGACUUACAUGACACCAUUAAGAGAAACAAUGUAAGCAUCAUUGUAAUCCCAGGAGAAGAGAGGAAGCAAGGAGUUGAAAGCUUAUGUAAAGGAAAUAAUGGCUGAGAACCUCCCAAACCAGGGGAGAGAUCUGGACAUCCAAGUUCAUGAAGCUCAUAGGUUACACUAAAAUUUCAGUCCAAAAUGAUCUUGUCCAAUACACAUAAUAAUAAAACUGUCUAAAAUCAAAGACAGAGAAUUUUAAAAGCAGCAAGAGAAAAAAAAAUCAUAGAAGGAAACGCCCAUAAGGCUAUCAAUGGAUUUCUGAACAAGAGACCUUGCAGCCCAGAAGAAAAGGGAUGAUAUGUUUGAAGUGCUGAAAGGAAGAAACUGCCAAGAAUACUAUACCCCGCAAAUUUCCCCUUCAGAAAUGAAGGUGAGAAAAAGACUUUCCUUAUGCACGUGGAUCCAGGAGCCUCCUGUCCCUCCCUCUGUCCCUCAGGCAUUCUUCUCACCAUUUAAAGUGAAGUGUGCAUUCAUUGUAACAGUGAUUUGACUUUGAUGGGUUAUCUGAAGCAUUCUUCGGUCUCCUUGCCACACAAAUUAUAUGAAAAAGUAUUCACCAAAAUGACCAACACAAAGGGGCACCUGCUACAAAUUCUCUAGGCCUUUUAGAAAACAUGGAGUUGUUCCUUUGGCCACAUAUAUGCGAAUCUACAAGAAAGGUGAUAUUUUAGAUAUCAAGGGAAUGGGCACUGUUCAAAAAGGAAUGCCCCACAAGUGUUACCAUGGCAAAACUGGGAGAGUCUACAGUGUUAACCCAGCAUGCUGUUGGCAUCAUUGUAAACAAACAAGGGCAAGAUUCUUUCCAAGAGAAUUAAUGAGCAUAUCGAGCAUAUUAAGCACUCUAAGAGCCAAGAUAGCUCCCUGAAAUGGGUGAAGGAAAAUGAUCCGAAAAAGAAGGAAGCCAAAGAGAAAGGUACUUGGGUUCAACUGAAGCGCCAGCCUGCUCCACCCAGAGAAGCACACUUUGUGAGAACCAAUGGAAAGGAGCCUGAACUGUUGGAGCCCAUUCCCUAUGAAUUCAUGGCGUUAUGGGUAUAAAGAAAAUAAAAGACCUGGACUGUAAAAAAAAAAAAAAAAAAAAAAAAAGACUUUCCCUAACAAAUAAAAGCUGAGGGAGUUUAUCACCACUAGACCUGCCUACAAGAAAUGCCUAUAGGAGUUCUUCAAGCUGAAAUGAAAGGACACUGGUUGGUAACAUGGAAAUAUAUGAAAAUAUACAACACACUGGCAAAAGUAAGCAUAUCGUCAGAUUCAGAAUACUGAAUACAGAAUAAUGUAAUAUGGUGGUGUGUUAACUACCUAACUCUAGUAUAAAGGUUGAAGGAUAAAAGUCUUCAAAAAGAGCCAUAGCUACCACAGCUGAUCAAUAGGUACACAGUAGAAAAAGAUGUAAAUUGUGGCAUCAAAAAUAUGAAAAAAAGGAGGGAAUAAAAGAUUAGAGGUUCUGUGUGCAAUAGAAGUUAAAUUGUUAUGAGUGUAAAAUAGACUGUUAUAUCUCUAAGAUGCCUUAAUGUAAGCCUCAUGGUAACCACAAAACAAAACCUUCAGUAGAUUCACAAACAAGAGAAGGGAAUGAACAGAUAUCACAAUGGAAAAUCAGCAGUUCACAAAGGACGGCAGCAAGAGAGAAGGAAAGGGACAAGGGAACUCCAGUAAGCCAGAAAACAGUUAAUGAGAUGGCAUUAAUAAGUCCUUACCUAUCAAUAAUUACUCUAAGUGUUAAAGGAUUGAUUUCUCCAAUCAAAACACAUAGAG